UGCGAGUCCCGCCUCUCUAGCUAUGUUGAGACGCGGCAGACGGCUCAGUAACGCGUGGCUAACCUACCCUCAGGACGAAAAUAACCCCGGGAAACUGGGGAUAAUAUUCGAUAGGUGAGGAUGUCUGGAAUGACUUCUCUCCUAAAGGACUUAUAUACAUGCUUCUAUUUCGCCUGGGGAUGGGGCCGCGCCCGAUCAGGUUGUUGGUGAGGUAACGGCUCACCAAGCCUAUAACCGGUACGGGCCGUGAGAGCGGUAGCCCGGAGAUGGGUACUGAGACAAGGACCCAGGCCCUACGGGGCGCAGCAGUCGCGAAAACUCCGCAAUGCACGAAAGUGUGACGGGGCUACCCCGAGUGCCAUCCGCUGAGGAUGGCUUUUCUUUGGUAUAACUAGCCAUGGGAAUAAGGAGAGGGCAAGACUGGUGUCAGCCGCCGCGGUAAUACCAGCUCUCCGAGUGGUAGGGAUGAUUAUUGGGCUUAAAGCGUCCGUAGCCGGCUUAGCAAGUUUCCUGUUAAACCCAGCGACUCAAUCGUUGGAUCGCGGGAAAUACUACUAGGCUAGGAGGCGGGAGAGGUCAACGGUACUUCUGGGGUAGGGGUGAAAUCCUAUAAUCCCGGGAGGACCACCAGUGGCGAAGGCUGUUGACUAGAACGCGCUCGACGGUGAGGGACGAAAGCUGGGGGAGCGAACCGGAUUAGAUACCCGGGUAGUCCCAGCUGUAAACGAUGCGAGCUAGGUGUUGGAAUGGCUACGGCCCAUUUCAGUGCCGCAGGAAAGCCAUUAAGCUCGCCGCCUGGGAGUACGGCCGCAAGGCUGAAACUUAA
rnacentral:rRNA from 1 species